rnacentral:rRNA from 1 species
GCUUACUGGGCCAUUACUGACGCUGAUGCACGAAAGCGUGGGGAGCGAACAGGAUUAGAUACCCUGGUAGUCCACGCCGUAAACGAUGAUCACUCGCUGUUAGCGAUACACAGUUAGCGGCUAAGCAAAAGCAUUAAGUGAUCCACCUGGGGAGUACGGCCGCAAGGCUGAAACUCAAAGGAAUUGACGGGGGCCCGCACAAGCGGAGGAACAUGUGGUUUAAUUCGAUGAUACGCGAGGAACCUUACCUGGGCUUAAAUGUAGAGUGCAUGAGGUAGAAAUACUUCUUUCCUUCGGGACUCUUUGCAAGGUGCUGCAUGGUUGUCGUCAGCUCGUGCCGUGAGGUGUCGGGUUAAGUCCCAUAACGAGCGCAACCCUUAUCGUUAGUUGCCAGCGGGUAAUGCCGGGAACUCUAACGAAACUGCCGGUGUAAACCGUGAGGAAGGUGGGGAUGACGUCAAAUCAGCACGGCCCUUAUGUCCAGGGCUACACACGUGUUACAAUGGCCGGUACAGAGGGCAGCUACCUGGAGACAGGAUGCGAAUCUCCAAAGCCGGUCCCAGUUCGGAUCGGAGUCUGCAACUCGACUCCGUGAAGCUGGAUUCGCUAGUAAUCGCGCAUCAGCCAUGGCGCGGUGAAUACGUUCCCGGGCCUUGUACACACCGCCCGUCAAGCCAUGGAAGUUGGGGGUACCUGAAGUCCGUAACCGUAAGGAGCGGCCUAGGGUAAAACUAGUGACUGGGGCUAAGUCGUAACAAGGUAACCGUA